AACCUUUACACUGCACGCCAGUGCGAUAAGGGAAUCCCAAGUGCGUAGGCAUAGAGCCUACGCUUUUGUACACCGUAGGGAGGUGUACGAAUAAGGGCUGGGCAAGACCGGUGCCAGCCGCCGCGGUAAUACCGGCAGCCCGAGUGAUGGCCGAUCUUAUUGGGCCUAAAGCGUCCGUAGCUGGCCGCACAAGUCCAUCGGAAAAUCCACCCGCUCAACGGGUGGGCGUCCGGUGGAAACUGUGUGGCUUGGGACCGGAAGGCGCGACGGGUACGUCCGGGGUAGGAGUGAAAUCCCGUAAUCCUGGACGGACCGCCGAUGGCGAAAGCACGUCGCGAGGACGGAUCCGACAGUGAGGGACGAAAGCCAGGGUCUCGAACCGGAUUAGAUACCCGGGUAGUCCUGGCCGUAAACGAUGUCUGCUAGGUGUGGCGCUGGCUACGAGCCAGCGCUGUGCCGUAGGGAAGCCGUGAAGCAGACCGCCUGGGAAGUACGUCUGCAAGGAUGAAACUUAAAGGAAUUGGCGGGGGAGCAC
rnacentral:rRNA from 1 species